rnacentral:rRNA from 1 species
GCAAGUCGAACGGUAACAUAGCUAGCUUGCUAGCUGAUGACGAGUGGCGGACGGGUGAGUAACGCGUAGGAAUUUACCUUUCGGUGGGGGAUAGCCCGGUGAAAACCGGAUUAAUACCGCAUAAGCCCUACGGGGGAAACGAGGCCUCUUCUUGAAAGCUUCGACCGAUAGAUGAGCCUGCGUUAGAUUAGCUAGUUGGUAGGGUAAUGGCCUACCAAGGCGACGAUCUAUAGCUGGUCUGAGAGGAUGAUC